rnacentral:tRNA from 1 species
GGAGUUGUGGCUCAGAGGUAGAGCGCUUGCCUAGUAUGCGUGAGGCACUGGGUUUGAUCCUCAGCACCA